UAAAUCCUCACUACUUAAAGCGUGCUCCUGUGGGAGCAGCAGGGACAGCCCCUGGGAAUGUGUUGGAAAUGCAGAAUCCAGGGCCCCCCACAGACCUGAACCAGAAUCUGCAUUUUAACAAGAUCCCCAGGGAAUUGCUCUGUAUGCCCUUCGGAGUCACCACAGCUCUGGAGCCCACAGAAGCUGAGAGGGAAAGUGCCCUGGAUUCCUUCACCCUGUGCUUGAAGACACGGCCUGUCUGGCAACAAUAUAGAGUAAAAUAAAUUAAACAUGGAGAAACCCAGAAGAAAAAAAGAAAGCAGAGAAAGCAACAGCAGAGAGGAGAUCUCAGCAAACUUUGGAAGUUGACAGGAAAAUCAGUGGAUGGCCAGAAACCAAAACUUUACACUGACGGGAAGAUCAGAAGAAAGGAACAGAUUUAAACUACUCAACUCUGGGACAGCUCAGAAGUGAGAGGUACUGGGUAAGCACUUCAGAAGCAUAGGUGCAGGGUGGAAGUAAAAGCAAGAGGAAAGUUGAUGGUGCUUGUAAGAAACAGUCAAACCACCAUGCUGCACUCCUCCCCUGGCCCCCCAAACAACCAGGAAUUACCCUGCCCCUCCACAAGUGAAAGCCAGGGUUGAACUAUUAUGGACUCUAAUCUUUGAGCUACUCGCUCUGAUUUAGGGCAAGAUAACAUUCUGUACUAAAAACUCAAGUGGAAACCUACACACUGAACUUCAGAUUUCCAGCCACAAUUCUCUCCCACUCCCACCAUGCCAUGUAUCUGCUCAGAUCCCGUUACACUGGCAGCCAGGCAUAUACUCCCAGGCAGGAGCUAAGACAAUGCAUCAUUACUGGCAAAGUAACCAGCCCCCUCCUCCCCGAUUCUGUAGAUACUGGUAUUUGGAGUUCUCCUGCGAAAAGGCCAGGGACAUCUAGCACCACCCAGCGAGACCUACUCAUUGACAGGUUCCACCCAGGUAGGCAGAAUUUCCAAUGAGCUUUUAGUGCUUGGAACUUAAAUAUGAAUAAACAAAAUCAUCAGAAAUUUGAGGGAAGCUUUUUAGCAUGGAAAACAAAAAGGGAAACAGAAAAAAGAAACUCAGAGGAAACAGAUAAUUCAAGGAAGAAGAAAACUUCAAAAUUAAGGUAUCAUAUCCAUGAAGAAAAACCAGAUUAUAAACAUGAACAUUUAGAAAGCCAAAGAAGAGCUUUUGGAAAUAAAAUACGAUUGCAGAAAUUAAAAUUUUAACACAAGGGCCAGGCGAGGUGUUCAUGCCUAUAAUCCCUGCACUUUGGGAGGCCAAGGUGGGAGGACUGAGCCCAGGAGUAAAUCCAAGACCAGCCUGAGCAACAUAAUGUGACCCUGUCUCUGCAAAAAAUAAUUUUUAAAAAUUUAGCCAGGCAUGGUGGUGCAUGUCUGUAGUCCCAGCUACUUGGGAGGCUGAGGUGGGAGGAUGUUUGAGCCUGGGAAGAUGAGGCUUCAGGGAGCUGUGAUCACCAACUGCAUUCCAGCCUGGGCAACAAAGUGAGUCCCUGUCUCAAACAAGCAAACAAAAUUCAACACAAAGUUCAGAAAAUAAAGAUGAUGAAAUAUCUCAGUAAUUAAAAGGAAAAUGUCAAUGAGGCAGAAAAUUGGACAAUAAAUUAUAAGAUAAGUAGAGGUUCAUUCAUUCAUUCAUUGAAUGCCUACUAUGUGCUAGAUAUUAUUCACAAUAUAUGAGUGAACAAACCAACAGAAGAUCCCUGCCCUCAAGGACUUUACAUAUUAACUGCAGAAGUCAGAAAAUAAACAAUAAACAUAAUAAGUAAAUUACAUAAUAUGUUAAGAGAUAGUGCUUUGUUCAAAAAGAAAAAAAAAGCAGGGAAAGGGGAUUGGGAGUGCUGAGAGGGUUUUGUGGUUUGUUUUUUCCAUUUUCUGUCUUUCUGUUUUGUUUUGGUUUUGGGUGUGUGUUUGUUUGUUUGUUUGUUUGUUUGUUUGAG
rnacentral:lncRNA from 1 species